AUUGAACGCUGGCGGCAUGCCUUACACAUGCAAGUCGGACGGUAACAGGUCUUCGGAUGCUGACGAGUGGCGAACGGGUGAGUAAUACAUCGGAACGUGCCCGAUCGUGGGGGAUAACGGAGCGAAAGCUUUGCUAAUACCGCAUACGAUCUACGGAUGAAAGCAGGGGACCGCAAGGCCUUGCGCGGACGGAGCGGCCGAUGGCAGAUUAGGUAGUUGGUGGGAUAAAAGCUUACCAAGCCGACGAUCUGUAGCUGGUCUGAGAGGACGACCAGCCACACUGGGACUGAGACACGGCCCAGACUCCUACGGGAGGCAGCAGUGGGGAAUUUUGGACAAUGGGCGCAAGCCUGAUCCAGCCAUGCCGCGUGCAGGAUGAAGGCCUUCGGGUUGUAAACUGCUUUUGUACGGAACGAAACGGCUCCUUCUAAUAAAGGGGGCUAAUGACGGUACCGUAAGAAUAAGCACCGGCUAACUCCGUGCCAGCAGCCGCGGUAACAC
rnacentral:rRNA from 1 species